GAUCCUCUCCUCCUCCUUAAUUUAUUUUUCUAUUUUUCCCUUCGUUAUUGCUGCUAUGGAGGAGGUUCUAUAGAGAGGGGGAAGGUGUUGUGGAGAGGGAGAGAUACGUUCUUGGGAGAAUGGUUCGAACAGGAGGGAGAGGGGAUGGCGCUAGGGAGGGACUCGGUCCCCUAAAGUUUUGAGGGAAAGGGGUUUUGACUUAGGUCAAGGGAGUGGGUUGGUUUGCUACAACUUAGCCCAAAUAGGAUUGGUCUUCCUGAAAUCUUUUUUAUAAAAAUAUGUCACAGAGGCGUGCCCGGAGAGGGAUCGUGCAUCCUUUGCUUUUCGUAUAUUGUCUAAGCUCAUUGCUAUAUAUAUGAUGUAUGCCCAUUCAACCGAAAAUGUUGGUUGAAGAAUUAAAGUGAAUGUCCAUUGUAAUUUUAAUCACAAUAUAGUGUUGAUUCUUUCACACAAGGUAUUCUUAGUAUAUAAUAAGAUCACACAUGACACAACUGUACAAAUCUCAAUAAUCGCCCGUGUAACCUACCAUCUAAUUUAAAUCAUAUUGAUAACCUGCCAUUUAAUCUCGUGACUUUCACCGACAAAAAUCUGUACGUAGGGCUUUAAAAAGGGGUUCGUAUUUUCAUACCCGCCUUAGACAGUCCUAAAAAAAAAAUCCUAGACCCCUUAUAUAUGUGGAUAAGUGGGAGUAGGUUUGUCAGUGUUGAGGGGGGAAGGAGAUGAGGAAGAGAGCUGGGAAAAGAAUAAAUUUUUGGAACAGGAGACAUCAGAAUUCAAAUAAUUUCCAGAGUUGAAUGUGGUGUGACACUGUGUCUGUGUACCUUAUCCGCUCAAGAUUCAUAUGUAACCAGUUUGCGCGACUAUGGUUAAAUUUUAAAAAAAACAAUCCUAUGAUCAUUGGCACCAGCAGCACCGCCACCGAUUUUUUAAAACAGGCGCAUCUCCCUUCAUGAACCUUCGUUUAUUCUCUGGGACUAUCAUGCUCUGCUGCAAUCUAGGUAACUUCUUCAUCUCAAUAUAGCUUGCAGCACUGUAAGGAGCAUGAACAAAUGCCGCGUGGCCUUGCCAAUCCAGUGUAAAAUGAUGAUUGCACGCGCACUGUUUU
rnacentral:lncRNA from 1 species